rnacentral:rRNA from 1 species
AGCGAACGCUGGCGGCAGGCCUAACACAUGCAAGUCGAACGAACUGUUCGGAGUUAUUGGCGGAGGGGUGAGGAACACGUGGGGAGGUGCCUGUAGGUUCGGAAUAACUCAGGGAAACUUGUGCUAAUAACGAAUGUGCCCUUCGGGGGAAAGAUUUAUCGCCUUGAGAGCGGCCCGCGUCAGAUUAGCUGGUUGGUGAGGUAAAGGCUGACCAAGGCGACGAUCAGUAGCUGGUCUGAGAGGAUGAUCAGCAACAUUGGGACUGAGACACGGCCCAAACUCCUACGGGAGGCAGCAGUGGGGAAUCUUGCGCAAUGGGCGAAAGCCUGACGAAGCCAUGCCGCGUGAAUGAUGAAGGUCUUAGUAUUGUAAAAUUCUUUCAACGGGGACGAUAAUGACGGUACCCGGUGAAGAAGCCCCGGCUAACUACGUG